ACAGCUCAAAUUUGAAAUCCCCCGGGAAUUGUAAUUUGAAGGUGGCCUCAGUUAGUCCAAACAUUCUUAAGUCCAUUGGAAAAUGGCGCCAUGGGAGGGUGAUAGCCCCGUAAAGAUGUCGUUUGUUCUAUUUUCUCUGGCCACCAAAGAGUCGAGUGUUUGGGAAUGCAGCUCUAAGUGGGUGGUAAAUUCCAUCUAAAGCUAAAUAUUGGCGAGAGACCGAUAGCGAACAAGUACAGUGAUGGAAAGAUGAAAAGCACUUUGAAAAGAGAGUGAAAAAGUACGUGAAAUUGUUGAAAGGGAAGGGCUUGCAAGCAGACACAACCUCGUGUUGGGCCAGCAUCGGGGCGAGAGGAAGUAAAAACGAUUUGGAAAUGUAACUUUCGAGUAUUAUAGACCUUAUCCCUCCCUUCCAUCUCAUCCCGAGGCCUGCGGUNUAUCCUAGAUGCUGGCGUAAU
rnacentral:rRNA from 1 species